rnacentral:rRNA from 1 species
UACAGAGGUCUCGAGCGUUAGGCGGAAUCACUGGGCUUAAAGCGUGUGUAGGUGGAUGCCUAAGUACCUUGUGAAAUCCCACGGCUUAACCGUGGAACUGCUUGGUAUACUGGGUGUCUUGAGUCACUCAGGGGCGAGCGGAACAAAUGGUGGAGCGGUGAAAUGCGUAGAUAUCAGGAGGAACACCUGUGGCGAAAGCGGCUCACUGGACCAUAACUGACGCUGAUGCACGAAAGCUAGGGGAGCAAACAGG